AAUAGAUACCCUGGUAGUCCAUGCCGUAAACGUUGGGCACUAGGUGUGGGGCUCAUUCCACGAGUUCCGUGCCGCAGCUAACGCAUUAAGUGCCCCGCCUGGGGAGUACGGCCGCAAGGCUAAAACUCAAAGGAAUUGACGGGGGCCCGCACAAGCGGCGGAGCAUGCGGAUUAAUUCGAUGCAACGCGAAGAACCUUACCAAGGCUUGACAUAUACCGAAAACUCGUAGAGAUACGGGGUCCGCAAGGGCGGUAUACAGGUGGUGCAUGGUUGUCGUCAGCUCGUGUCGUGAGAUGUUGGGUUAAGUCCCGCAACGAGCGCAACCCUCGUCCUAUGUUGCCAGCGGGUAAUGCCGGGGACUCAUAGGAGACUGCCGGGGUCAACUCGGAGGAAGGUGGGGAUGAGGUCAAAUCAUCAUGCCCCUUAUGUCUUGGGCUUCACGCAUGCUACAAUGGCCGGUACAAAGGGCAGCGAACUCGCGAGGGUGAGCGAAUCCUCAAAGCCGGCCUCAGUUCGGAUUGGAGUCUGCAACG
rnacentral:rRNA from 1 species